rnacentral:lncRNA from 1 species
CUAUGUUGACAGGGGAAAGACAUGAGGUCCAGGUGAGACCAUUUUUUCCCCUCAUGCAGGAAGGCCCAGCUGAUGUCAAUAAUUCUAACAAUGGCUUUAGUACUGCCCCACUCUGAGCCUGCUUGCUGGAACCUUAUAGAGGAAGCAAUGCCCAGGUCUCUGGGUUCCUGCUCCCAAAGGGAUUCUUGGACUGUGCCGUGGAACUGUUGUUGGGGAAAGAACCUGAGAACCAGAGAAGUGGCCCAAAGCGAGAGAGACAUCGCCGGCUGUUGA